GCGCCUGUGGCUCAAAGGAGUAGGGCCCUGGCCUCAUAUGCCAGAGGUGGUGGGUUCAAACCCAGCCCUGGCCA
rfam:Otolemur garnettii contig044741, whole genome shotgun sequence.